rnacentral:misc_RNA from 1 species
ACGGACGUGGGCGACUACCAGAUCAAGCUGCGCAACAUGCUGCGAUUCCUGGAAGAGGGCGACAAGGUCAAGGUCACCAUCCGUUUCCGCGGUCGCGAGAUGUCGCACCAGGAUCUGGGCCAGAACCUGGCCAAGAAGAUCCAGGAAGACGUGGGCGAUAACGGCCAGGUCGAGUCGUGGCCCCGGCUGGAAGGCCGACAGAUGGUCAUGAUGAUCGGCCCCAAGAAGAAACAGUGACGUGAGCGGCGGCCUUCAGGGCCGCCGUUUCGUAUGGCCGGCAGUGCCUGCUCGAAGGCUGGGGCGGGCGGGCUGCGGA